rnacentral:rRNA from 1 species
UACGGAGGGUGCAAGCGUUGUCCGGAUUUAUUGGGUUUAAAGGGUGCGUAGGCGGCCGAUUAAGUCCGGGGUGAAAGCCCGUUGCUCAACAACGGAACUGCCCCGGAAACUGGUGGGCUUGAGUCCAGACGAGGUUGGCGGAAUGGAGGCUGUAGCGGUGAAAUGCAUAGAUAGCCUCCAGAACCCCGAUUGCGAAGGCAGCUGACUAGGCUGGUACUGACGCUGAGGCACGAAAGCGUGGGGAGCGAACAGG